GAUGAACGCUAGCGGCAGGCUUAACACAUGCAAGUCGAGGGGUAUAGUUCUUCGGAAUUAGAGACCGGCGCACGGGUGCGUAACGCGUAUGCAAUCUACCUUUCACAGAGGGAUAGCCCCAGAGAAAUUUGGAUUAAUACCUCAUAGUAUAGCAGUUUCGCAUGAAACCACUAUUAAAGUCACAACGGUGAAAGAUGAGCAUGCGUCCCAUUAGCUAGUUGGUAAGGUAACGGCUUACCAAGGCAACGAUGGGUAGGGGUCCUGAGAGGGAGAUCCCCCACACUGGUACUGAGACACGGACCAGACUCCUACGGGAGGCAGCAGUGAGGAAUAUUGGACAAUGGGCGCAAGCCUGAUCCAGCCAUGCCGCGUGCAGGA
rnacentral:rRNA from 1 species